AACGUCCUUAUGAGUUGGUGU
rnacentral:siRNA from 1 species